rnacentral:rRNA from 1 species
ACGUAGGUGGCAAGCGUUAUCCGGAAUUACUGGGUGUAAAGGGCGUGUAGACGGGGAUAUAAGUCAGAUGUGAAAUUCUUGAGCUCAACUCAAGCGCUGCAUCUGAAACUAUAACUCUUGAGUGAUGGAGAGGAAAGCGGAAUUCCUAGUGUAGCGGUGAAAUGCGUAGAUAUUAGGAGGAACACCAGUGGCGAAGGCGGCUUUCUGGACAUUAACUGACGUUGAGGCGCGAAAGCGUGGGGAGCAAACAGGAUUAGAUACCCUGGUAGUCCACGCCGUAAACGAUGGAUACUAGGUGUAGAGGGUAUCGACCCCUUCUGUGCCGGAGUUAACACAAUAAGUAUCCCACCUGGGGAGUACGGCCGCAAGGUUG